rnacentral:rRNA from 1 species
UACGGAGGAUGCAAGCGUUAUCCGGAAUUAUUGGGCGUAAAGGGUCCGCAGGUGGCAAUGUAAGUCUGCUGUCAAAGAAUGAGGCUUAACCUCAUCAAGGCAGUGGAAACUACAUAGCUAGAGUACGGUCGGGGUAGAAGGAAUUCCUGGUGUAGCGGUGAAAUGCGUAGAGAUCAUGAGGAAGACCAGUGGCGAAGGCGGGUCUCUGGACAGUUCCUGACACUGAGACACGAAGGCCAGGGGAGCAAACGGG